rnacentral:lncRNA from 1 species
GGUCCUACCUGCCUCUCCUGCAUGGUAAGCCUGAUCUCACCUGGCCUCAGCAAGGGGACUCCAAGUCACCUUUUGAGCUCUUGCCUGAAUCUGCGAUGUACCCUGGGGAAGGUCCAGCCACUGAGUCAGUAGGGAGACAUUGACCGGGAUCCCUGACAUGCUGGGAAGAUGUCAGAUCCCAGUAUUAGCCAAGGAGCACAAGACCUGCAGGACAGCUGACCAGUGUCUGAUGCCAGCAGGGCUGAAAACAGGGACAUCCAAGACCCUUAGAGCUAGCAUGACCCACCCUAGUCUCCAGCUGUCCACCUCUGAGCUGGCCAGUGUCUGAUGCCAGCAGGACUGACAACAGAGACAUCUGAGCUGGCAUGACCCACCCUUGUCUCCAGCUAUCCACCUCUGCUCCUGGAUGGUCCUCUGGGCUUGUGUAGUCCUUCCCCAGAGCCCCAAUGCCUAGGCUGUCUGUGUGUUUGAGAUCCCCGCAGCAGUCUGAUAGAGAGGACGCUGCCCUCCGAGGCUUCCCUCGUCUUUCCCCGUGGCUGUGGACUUGUUAGCCCCCCACCGGCAGGAGCCCCAGAAUCUGAGGCACAGAGAGGGUGACCCCUGUGAAAGGACCGUUAGACUAGGAUCUCGACCUGCAGGUGGAGAGACACUGCAUAGGGAGAUCAGUAUUUGGAGAGACUCCUGAUUCAGAAGUUGAAGUGGCUGAGGUCAGAGAGCCAUCGGUGACCUGGUGCGUGUUCUCCAAGGCCAACAUUAUGACCACCAUGAAGAGCUCGAACUGCAGGUUCUCUUUGUGCCGCUCUUGAGAAGAACUUCAAGUUGGGGUUGGAGUUGACCCAGGCCCCUCUGCACCCAGGGGGAUAGAACUUGAAGCUGGUCUUGGUGCUGUAGCUGAGCUCCAGCAGAGAAUGCUUCCAUGAGGGACCGGUGAACUCCUGCAGGCUGCUGAAGGGCUCUCACUUUCUGCUCGCCAUUUGCCCAUUUUAUAUCAAGGUGGUCAGCAACAGAAAGUAGGGGAACCAUGCUUUGUAUAAGUAGUUCCAAGAACAUUCAGCAAGUACAUGCGAAGUGCCAGGAUUCUGAUAACCGGAAAGUCUUGUGAAAUUGGGAAUAAAAAUAAGGAAGGUGGUGUCCCAGAUGCCAACCUUGGGACCUUUACUGGGAGAGGCUAGGAAUGUCUAACACAUGACAGAUGUGUCAUUGAUCAGCUGCUAAGGUGACAUCUCCAUUAUUGGAUCUUUGUAAGGGAUUCUGAGCUGGAGUACACUGGAUUGUUCUGUUUCUCAGUACUUAAGCCCCAUGGGUCAGACACUGCUGAGGCCCACUUUACAGAUUGAUAAGUGGAGUCUCACAGAGGUCAGUUACAAGGACAUGCAGCUGGGAUGAGGCUGUUCCUCUGGAGAGCUGUGCAGCUUCCCCUGAGGCGACUGAGCUCUUAGGGUGGAACACCAUGAGGAGAGAGACUAGAGAAAGUCCACACAUGGAAUGGUCAGCUGUGGGGAGUGAGGGAAGACCUAAGUGGAUAAAAUCCAGAGUGGAUGUGUGCUGUUGUCAUGGGCACCACCACGUCGAGGACCCUGAUAUCUGAGACCCAUGGGAAAUAUUAAAACCACCAUCAGGCUAGGUUGUAGGCAAAGUCUUCCCUUCAGUGUAUGCAAAAAACGAGCACCCUAGCUUCUUCUGCCUCCCAGGUACUUACAGCCCGAAGACUGCUCACCAACAGAGACUGCCCCUACAGCUUAGCUGACCCCGCCUUCCUGUUCAGCUCUACCAAUGACCCAGUGUCCCCAUUCAACUGUUCUAAUAAUCAUGCUGAGCUUCCGGGGUGCCUCACGUCUUCAUCGAGGAGCCCCGAACACCCAGUGCCAAUAUUUCUGCCUCUGUAUGUUUGUCUUUUCUUUAUUUCCUCAGUAACCCAGGCAAGCAAAUCCCUGGAGCUGUACUGGAGAAGGCGGAUGCGUCUGCCAGAAGCUGACCUAGAUAGAUGCUCUAGAGCCUGACUUGGCCUGCACCACCCACGGGGGACAUCUGGAUAUAUGUGUGCUCACUGCCCUCAGCUCAUCUUCCUUGUCUCCUGUGCUCUGCCAAGUCUCUUAGGAGCAUUCCUUUGGCCCCUGCUUCCUCGAUUUGCACAAGUCUCUCUCAUUUCAGAUCCCUUUCACACACCUGCCUCUCAUGUGUCAUUCUGUGUGCAUAGGUCUCACCUGUUGUAAAUAGGCCUUUCUUUAAGCUUGCUUACUGCUUUAAGACAACUUUUCUAUCAUUUUCCCUUUCUUCCAAAGGGUCCUUCUGGAGCUGGAGCUGGAGCUGGCUCAGUGGGUAAAGAUGCUGAAACCAAGUCUAGCUAACUGUGUUUGACCCCCCGAAACCCACAUGGUGGAUGGAGGGAGCUGACUCUAAGCUGCCUUCUGACCUUCACAUGCGCACCGUGUAGCAUAUCCUCUGUUGCUGCACACUUACAAUAAUAAAUAAAUAACAAAUAUAAAGAA